rnacentral:rRNA from 1 species
UUAAUAAGGGGAGGAAAAGAAACUAACAAGGAUUCCCUUAGUAGCGGCGAGCGAACAGGGAGGAGCCCAGCGCUGAAUCCCCCGGGCCUCGCUCGGCGGGAAAUGUAGCGUUAAGGAGUGUCCGUUAACACGUCGUAUCGCUUUUCGCUCAAGUCAACCUUGAACGGGGCCACACAGAGGGUGAUAUGCCCGUGUAGCAUUAGCGUGCGGCGUGUGGGCAUCUCCUCAGAGUCGGUUUGCUUGAGAGUGCAGACCUAAGUGGGUGGUAAACUCCAUCUAAGGCUAAAUAUGACCACGAGACCGAUAGCACACAAGUACCGUGAGGGAAAGGUGAAAAGAACUUUGAAGAGAGAGUUCAAGAGUACGUGAAACUGAGCUGGUGAAAGCGGACAGAAUUGAAAUUUGCGAAUGGAGGCGAUUCAUUCGACCCCGUAGCGGAGGCUGCGGUCGGCGAUGGCGAUUUGCGAGCCCAGGGGCCUUUCGGGGCGUACUGGUGUCUCCUGCGUCGAGCCGGCCGCGGUUCGUUAGCGUGAGGGGAAGGUGCACUUCACUCCUAGUAGCACGUCGCGGCUCGUUGGGGUGCCGUCCUAAGGCCCGUGAUGGAGCCCUCGCCUUUGUGCGUUGACUCACGGUGUCCCGGUCGGUCCCCGACGGUGUUCAGUACCUGGUCGGAGCCGUUUCGUCUGUGCCCCUAGAGCGGUGGCAAAUCAGACUGGCUCCCUCGGUCUGCGGCGCUUGUUUCGAUCCCUGUCCGUCCCGUCUUGAAACACGGACCAAGGAGUCUAACAUGUGCGCGAGUCAUUGGGCUCGACAAACCCUAAAGGCGAAAUGAAAGUAAAGGCCGGGCUCGUCUCGCGCCGAGGGGUGAUGGUCGCGCUAACCAUGCCGGCCCGCAACCCCGGGGCGCCGCGUUCUCUUUGAGAUGCGGCGCACCUUGAGCGUACACGUUGGUACCCGAAAGAUGGUGAACUAUGCCUGGCCAGAGCGAAGUCAGGGGAAACCCUGAUGGAGGCUCGAAACGAUUCUGACGUGCAAAUCGAUCGUCAGAGCUGGGUAUAGGGGCGAAAGACUAAUCGAACCGUCUAGUAGCUGGUUCCCUCUGAAGUUUCCCUCAGGAUAGCUGGCGCUCGGAUGAGUCUCAUCCGGUAAAGCGAAUGAUUAGAGGCCUUGGGGUCGAAACGACCUCAACCUAUUCUCAAACUUUAAAUGGGUGAGAGCUCCGGCUUGCUUCGGUGAAGCCGGCAGCGUCUCGGAUCGAGAGUGCCAAGUGGGCCAAUUUUGGUAAGCAGAAAUGGCGCUGUGGGAUGAACCAAACGCGGAGUUAAAGCGCCUAAGUCGACGCUGAUGGGAAACCAUGAAAGGCGUUGGUUGCUGAAGACAGCAGGACGGUGGCCAUGGAAGUUGGAAACCGCUAAGGAGUGUGUAACAACUCACCUGCCGAAGCAACCAGCCCUGAAAAUGGAUGGCGCUGAAGCGUCGCGCUUAUACUCCGCCGUCAGGGCAAAAGGCCCUUCGGGGCUCUUGAUGCCCUGAUGAGUAAGAGGGUCGCGUCGGUGUGCGCAGAAGGGUUGGGCGUGAGCCUGCCUGGAGCCGCCGACGGUGCAGAUCUUGGUGGUAGUAGCAAAUACUCUAAAGAGACCUUGGAGGACCGAAGUGGAGAAGGGCUCCGCGACAACAGUGCUUGCUCGCGAGUGAGUCGAUCCUAAGCCCAGGGAGAAAUCCUUCGUAUGGCCGCCGCAAGGUGGCCGUCGGGCGAAAGGGAAUCCGGUAACCAUUCCGGAACCAGAGUUGGAACCGUAUCGCAGGUCCUCGUACUUGUCACGGCGACGUGAAUUGCCCCAGGGACGCCGUCGGGUGCUGUCAGAAGAGUUAUCUUUUCUCUAUGAGUGGGCGUACUCUGUGGAAUUCUCUUGCAGAGAGAUACAGAGCGGCUUCACGAAGAGCAUCGCACUUGCGGCGGUGUUGACAGAUUACUCCUCGGACCUUGAAAACCUGGGUGAGGGCCACGCGUGCCUCCAACUCUUGUUCGUACCCAUAUCCGCAUCAGGUCUCCAAGGUAAAGAGCCUCUUGUCGAUGGAAUAAUGU